AUUGAACGCUGGCGGCAUGCCUUACACAUGCAAGUCGAACGGCAGCACGGGUGCUUGCACCUGGUGGCGAGUGGCGAACGGGUGAGUAAUACAUCGGAACAUGUCCUGUAGUGGGGGAUAGCCCGGCGAAAGCCGGAUUAAUACCGCAUACGAUCUACGGAUGAAAGCGGGGGACCUUCGGGCCUCGCGCUAGAGGGUUUGCCGAUGGCUGAUUAGCUAGUUGGUGGGGUAAAGGCCUACCAAGGCGACGAUCAGUAGCUGGUCUGAGAGGACGACCAGCCACACUGGGACUGAGACACGGCCCAGACUCCUACGGGAGGCAGCAGUGGGGAAUUUUGGACAAUGGGCGAAAGCCUGAUCCAGCAAUGCCGCGUGUGUGAAGAAGGCCUUCGGGUUGUAAAGCACUUUUGUCCGGAAAGAAAUCCUUGGCCCUAAUACGGUCGGGGGAUGACGGUACCGGAAGAAUAAGCACCGGCUAACUACGUG
rnacentral:rRNA from 1 species